rnacentral:rRNA from 1 species
AUUACACAAAUAUGAAGGCGGGCUGGAACCUCUCGGGGGUUACAGCCUUGCUGANNUAUUCACCCUUGUCUUUUGCGUACUUCUUGUUUCCUUGGUGGGUUCGCCCACCACUAGGACAAACAUAAACCUUUUGUAAUUGCAAUCAGCGUCAGUAACAAAUUAAUAAUUACAACUUUCAACAACGGAUCUCUUGGUUCUGGCAUCGAUGAAGAACGCAGCGAAAUGCGAUAAGUAGUGUGAAUUGCAGAAUUCAGUGAAUCAUCGAAUCUUUGAACGCACAUUGCGCCCUUUGGUAUUCCAAAGGGCAUGCCUGUUCGAGCGUCAUUUGUACCCUCAAGCUUUGCUUGGUGUUGGGCGUCUUGUCUCUAGCUUUGCUGGAGACUCGCCUUAAAGUAAUUGGCAGCCGGCCUACUGGUUUCGGAGCGCAGCACAAGUCGCACUCUCUAUCAGCAAAGGUCUAGCAUCCAUUAAGCCUUUUUUCAACUUUUGACCUCGGAUCAGGUAGGGAUACCCGCUGAACUUAAGCAUAUCAAUAAGCGGAGGAAAAGAAACCAACAGGGAUUGCCCUAGUAACGGCGAGUGAAGCGGCAACAGCUCAAAUUUGAAAUCUGGCUCUUUUAGAGUCCGAGUUGUAAUUUGCAGAGGGCGCUUUGGCUUUGGCAGCGGUCCAAGUUCCUUGGAACAGGACGUCACAGAGGGUGAGAAUCCCGUACGUGGUCGCUGGCUAUUGCCGUGUAAAGCCCCUUCGACGAGUCGAGUUGUUUGGGAAUGCAGCUCUAAAUGGGAGGUACAUUUCUUCUAAAGCUAAAUAUUGGCCAGAGACCGAUAGCGCACAAGUAGAGUGAUCGAAAGAUGAAAAGCACUUUGGAAAGAGAGUCAAACAGCACGUGAAAUUGUUGAAAGGGAAGCGCUUGCAGCCAGACUUGCUUACAGUUGCUCAUCCGGGUUUUUACCCGGUGCACUCUUCUGUAGGCAGGCCAGCAUCAGUUUGGGCGGUAGGAUAAAGGUCUCUGUCA